AGUUAUGUUAAAUUUGACUUAAGUUAAAAACAACAAAAAUAUUUAGAGUUUCAUUAGAAAAUUCCAUACAAAGUAUUUUUAAGGACACUGUGAAUUUACCACAAUGUACUCAUUGGCACUCGGGCAUCACACAAAUUGAACUUAAUUCAAAGCAAGGAUUAAUGCUUUAGUCGAACCGAUACCAGACUCCUCUGACUGCACACGCACACCCAAUACACACACACAUUUACACUCGCAAUGCAGGAUGUCGGCAAAAACAUGCAUCACACAAUUCUCCACACACUAUUUAGAAGGAUGUGUCCCACAACGAGCGAGGAGAAUGCGAAGGCGGAGAAGGUGGAGCACAAGGUAAAGGCAUGAGGCAUGAGGAAUGAGGCAUGAGGCGUGACAGCGUAUGCAACCGGAUUGCCGGCCAACGAGAGCAACGAGAGACUUCCGGUGUAGGAAGACCACAGUAUUGAUGUAAAUGAAUGCAGUUACGUUUAACCGAUUCUCAAUUCCCAGAGUUCACUCCGGAAAUGCUCCAUUGAGAACGAUGACCAAAUCGUCGAGAACGAUUGCUUAUUUUGACUUUGGCUCCAGCUUGGAAUCUGAAUUCUGAUUCGUGGUUGAGUUCCUGUUUGUCUGUCUGUCUGUUCGUCCGUCUGUCUACCGCAGUCAAUAGACUGUGCGUGAGGCAAACUGUUGCAUCCAUUGCCAAUGCAAUGAGUAAUAAACUUCUAUUUGUCCGAUUCAGUAAAGGGAACUUAAGUCUUAAUUUUACGAUAUAUAACGGCGGAUUGCAUUGCGGUGACAAUUCAAGCGAGCCCAUUUACAUAAAAGUCCGCAGAAAGCCCCCAUUCACAAAUGUAAUCCGAGUGGCCAUUGGCCACAGUAGGGAUCAACAGUGUGAUAUAUACACAAUAAUUGCCAUUCAGCCGAUUUUCCAAUGAAUGUGUGCGUGUGUGUGUGUGUCAGUGUCAGCGAUUUGUUCAAUACCCACAAGGAUAUUUUGAGCGAUUUCGUGCCAGCCAUGGUAAUCAUCUGGAAUGCCAGAGCCAGAAGCAACGACCUGACCAUGCUAGCGGCAAAUCGUCAACCUUCAAGCCCCAACCUCAUUCUCCCGGCCCCAAAAAAAAAAUCUGGAAAAAAAAAAUAUAAACAGGAGACGGAAACGAGCCAUGGUUGACUCGCACGCAACGGCUGUCGGCUCAAUGAGCCAAGCACCAGGAGCAAGACCAGCUCCAGGUGAUGGGAAUGGUGAUUGUGAUGUUUGUGUAUGUCCCUUGAAAAUUACAGUUAUUCGUUGUACGUGUUUAAUUAUUUUUAAAUCACACGCAAAGCAAAGCAAAGCAAAGCAAAAAAAAAGGACGACAACAAAACCUACUUGGGGGUUUAGUAUAGAGUGCUCUGGUAGGCAAAUCACGUGCCGAUUCCCAGCUAUUUUUACGCAGUCAAAGGGAAUGCCAAUGCCAAAGCUAUAGCCACAACUGUCCACUCAAAAGUGUUAUUUCCGUGGUUUUUAAUUUAUAUGGCUGGACCCUUGACCGACAACUAAAAGAAAGCUAUUUAAUUUGUUGCAAUUCUAUUUUGUAUUUAUUUUUCCAAAAUUUGCAUUCGCCUAAUGAAAAAGUUUGAACACAACUUUUUGCAUAUUAAUUUCAAUGCCCAAAAAAAGGGAAAACAAGGAAAAUAUAUUAAUUAGUAUAAUGGCAAGUCAAGGAAUUUCCAGAAAGGACUAACAAGGUUGUUAUUAAGGGAAUGAACUACAUACAUAUUUACUGUCAAUUCGUAUCCUUUUCUUUAAAUUUUUUAAUUAAUUAAUAAAUUUACGUCUGUCAAACUUCUCA